CGCCUGGGCUGUCGUAAACUCAUUACCUCCAGACGUCUCGCCGGCUCGAUGGCUUUAUGACACCUUGGCUCUUCCUGUUUUCAAAGAGCUGUAGGUAUCCGCCUGGCCUAGGGGCGGAGGAUGCAGCACCUUCGGC
rnacentral:miRNA from 1 species